rnacentral:rRNA from 1 species
GACGGAGGGUGCAAGCGUUGCUCGGAAUUACUGGGCGUAAAGGGCGCGUAGGCGGUCCGCUAAGUUCGGUGUGAAAGCCCCCGGCUCAACUGGGGAAGGGCGCCGGAUACUGGCGGACUAGAGUACCGGAGAGGAGGGUGGAAUUCCUGGUGUAGCGGUGAAAUGCGUAGAUAUCAGGAGGAACACCGGUGGCGAAGGCGGCCCUCUGGACGAGUACUGACGCUGAGGCGCGAAAGCGUGGGGAUCAAACAGG